rnacentral:rRNA from 1 species
AGCUCCAAUAGCGUAUAUUAAAGUUGUUGCAGUUAAAAAGCUCGUAGUUGGAUUUGUGGUUGUCUGUGACUGUUCUUCACUUAGUGUUGAAUGUGUUUGUAGUCGCCAUCCUUGGGUGGAUCUUGUGUGGCAUUAGGUUGUCGUGCAGGGGAUGCCCAUCGUUUACUGUGAAAAAAUUAGAGUGUUCAAAGCAGGCUUAUGCCGUUGAAUAUAUUAGCAUGGAAUAAUAAGAUAGGACCUUGGUACUAUUUUGUUGGUUUGCGCACCAAGGUAAUGAUUAAUAGGGACAGUUGGGGGUAUUCGUAUUCCAUUGUCAGAGGUGAAAUUCUUGGAUUUUUGGAAGACGAACUACUGCGAAAGCAUUUACCAAGGAUGUUUUCAUUAAUCAAGAACGAAAGUA